GUUAAGCACAUGAAAAAGAAUUCUGAGAUAACGGAUUUAAACAUUAACGUGUUUUAAAAGAAUUUAUGAAGAAUGCAAAUAACUAUCAACUACAAACAAUACAUGUUCGAUCAUAGAUAAAAAACUAUGUAUAAGCACAGAUAUUUACUAUCAUAUCGGCUGAGAAAUUGAAAAUUCUAAAAAUCACGUGAUUACUACUUGAACCAAUUCAAGUGUACUUCAUAUCCAUGAACUUCAUAUCUUAAUAGAGUGCUUUCUAACCAACUUUGAACAACAUUAUAUAUAAUUUUACAAGAAAUAUUAGUGUUACUAUUUUCAAAAAUUAACACAUAUUUAAUAUAUUGAAGUUUUAAAUGAUAAAUGAAAUAAAACACAAGAAAUAUAAUAAUUUCAGAACUGAUAAUUAUGAAAUCUAUGCAACAUGAACAAAUUCCAUUGCAUUCAUUGCAAGUAUUUAUGACUAAUUAAAUUAUUUAGUACAUUUGUAUUUUUGAAAUUACUCUUAUCCAUGAUUAGAUUUCUUUUAUAAAGAUUCAUGAAUGAAAGGUCAUGCAAUUAUCGAAGAUGAUAAUUGUAUAUAAAUAAUUGAAGGUAUGACAAUAGAAGAAUGAUAUAUAGGCAAACCGUUCUGCGAACUUUUCUAUUGUUUCAUUGAAGAAACUAUUUCUGGGAUUUCAAAACGUAACGUUGUUCACCGAUUGCCUUAAACUUUAGGAUCGAAGGUCCAACUGUAACAAUGCGUUCCGACGAAACAAAGUUUUUCCUUGCAGAAAAACGUGACAGGUACAAUGAAGCCGGAUGUUAACUCCCAUAGAAUAGAAUCAAAUGCAGUUGAUAAUUGUAAAUGACUUUUUUUUAUUAUCGUCCGAUACGAUUUGUAACGUGAUUCAAACGAUGAUAUUAUUUUCUGGCUUGAUUACGCUAACAAUAAGUAUGAAUUCACAUGAAUUCCAUUUGCUGCAAAUAUGCAUUGGUAUGAUUGGUAGUGAUGUAAGAAAGAACGGAAAUAAAAUAGCAAGAUAGCAAGCAAACAUGUAGAAAAGAUCUUGGAUUCAUCAAAGAAGGCAUCUGAGUUUAUCUUUAAUGAUCCCACGCGACUACCGACCGAAUUAUGUAACGUAUAUGUAUAACUGGUAAAUAGUAAUUAAUAUUAUCAUGAUAAAAGAAUUUUUAUUUAAAAAAAAAUGCUUUCAUUAACCGAGGGUUUUAAUAACUAUGCUAUAAUAAUUUUUGUAAGCCAUGCUUUAUGCUAUGUCAUGCUAAUUUAGAAUAAUUUACAAAUUCUUAAUUUAAAAUUCAAAUUUUUCGAAUUUUAUUCAUUCGCAGAAUAUUUUUUAUGCUUAUUUAUUAUUAAAUAGAAAAAUAUAUGUUAAUGAAAAAUUAUAUAAUAUAUGUUGUUAUGUCUAACACAUGAAAAAAAAUUGCUCAACAUUAAAGGAUGUGAGUAACAUUCAAAUUAUUCAUUACAUCAUUUUGAUAAAUUAUUCUGGACAAUUUAUAUUUAUAUAAUGAAUAAUGAAUAAUGUAAUCGAUCUGAAUUAAAUAGUGAUUUAUUGAUUAGCAAUAAAAAAUAAAUUUUUUAUAAUUUUUAUUAAAAUUAUCUUUUCAAAUAUAUUUUCGAAUUCGUUGAAUCAUCAAUCUUUCAGUAAAUUGAUUAAAAAUAUUUAUCUUUAAUUAAAAAAAAUAGCAAAUUUAAAAUUUCUAAAAAAUUUAAAAUGUAAAAAUAUAUAUGUAUGUUUAUUAGA